rnacentral:rRNA from 1 species
UACGUAGGGUGCAAGCGUUGUCCGGAAUUAUUGGGCGUAAAGAGCUCGUAGGCGGUCUGUCGCGUCUGCUGUGAAAACUCGGGGCUUAACCUCGGGCUUGCAGUGGGUACGGGCAGACUAGAGUGCGGUAGGGGAGACUGGAAUUCCUGGUGUAGCGGUGGAAUGCGCAGAUAUCUGGAGGAACACCGGUGGCGAAGGCGGCGAUUCUGGACCGAUAUUGACGCUGAGGAGCGAAAGCCAGGGGAGCAAACGGG